rnacentral:snRNA from 1 species
UUUCUCGUAAUGUAAAUGUCAAA